rnacentral:rRNA from 1 species
GACGAACGCUGGCGGCGUGCUUAACACAUGCAAGUCGAACGGAAAGGCCCUGCUUUUGUGGGGUGCUCGAGUGGCGAACGGGUGAGUAACACGUGAGUAACCUGCCCUUGACUUUGGGAUAACUUCAGGAAACUGGGGCUAAUACCGGAUAGGAGCUCCUGCUGCAUGGUGGGGGUUGGAAAGUUUCGGCGGUUGGGGAUGGACUCGCGUCUUAUCAGCUUGUUGGUGGGGUAGUGGCUUACCAAGGCUUUGACGGGUAGCCGGCCUGAGAGGGUGACCGGCAACAUUGGGACUGAGAUACGGCCCAGACUCCUACGGGAGGCAGCAGUGGGGAAUAUUGCACAAUGGGCGGAAGCCUGAUGCAGCAACGCCGCGUGCGGGAUGACGGCCUUCGGGUUGUAAACCGCUUUCGCCUGUGACGAAGCGUGAGUGACGGUAAUGGGUAAAGAAGCACCGGCUAACUACGUG